GACAUGGUGGUCAUGCUGCCCAAGUCAGACACAUGCUUCUCUGGGGACAAAGAGGCUCCCUGACUCCUCGGGAGACCCACCGUGGCCCUUCCCAGGGUGAGCUGGGGCAGCCGGCCUUGUCGUCCUGAGCUGUCUGGACCCACCCCCCAGGCCCCCCUGCCUUUGGGUGGCUGCCUCCUGGCCAUCUCUGGGCCUCCCUCUUCUGCUCAAUAAACGUAUUCUGCAGUCUA